rnacentral:tRNA from 1 species
GGGGAGGUGCCAGAGUGGUCGAAUGGGGCCGCCUGCUAAGCGGUUGUCGGGCUUAAACCUCGACCGAGGGUUCGAAUCCCUCCCUUCCCGCCA